AGAACGAACGCUGGCGGCAUGCCUAAUACAUGCAAGUCGAACGAAGGCUUCGGCCUUAGUGGCGCACGGGUGCGUAACGCGUGGGAAUCUGCCCCUUGGUUCGGAAUAACAGUUGGAAACGACUGCUAAUACCGGAUGAUGACGAAAGUCCAAAGAUUUAUCGCCAAGGGAUGAGCCCGCGUAGGAUUAGCUAGUUGGUGAGGUAAAGGCUCACCAAGGCGACGGUCCUUAGCUGGUCUGAGAGGAUGAUCAGCCACACUGGGACUGAGACACGGCCCAGACUCCUACGGGAGGCAGCAGUAGGGAAUAUUGGACAAUAGGGCGAAAGCCUGAUCCAGCAAUGCCGCGUGAGUGAUGAAGGCCUUAGGUGUAAAGCUUCUUUACCCGAGAUGAAUAAUGACAGUAUCGGAGAACUAACGCCCCGUACUAACCGUCCGUGACCCAGCAGGCGCGGU
rnacentral:rRNA from 1 species